rnacentral:misc_RNA from 1 species
GAUGAAGAACGUAGCGAAAUGCGAUAAGUAAUGUGAAUUGCAGAAUUCAGUGAAUCAUCGAAUCUUUGAACGCACAUUGCGCCCGCCAGUAUUCUGGCGGGCAUGCCUGUUCGAGCGUCAUUACAACCCUCAGGCCCCCGGGCCUGGCGUUGGGGAUCGGCGGAGCCCCCCGUGGGCACACGCCGUCCCCCAAAUACAGUGGCGGUCCCGCCGCAGCUUCCAUCGCGUAGUAGCUAACACCUCGCGACUGGAGAGCGGCGCGGCCACGCCGUAAAACACCCAACUCUUCUGAAGUUGACCUCGAAUCAGGUAGGAAUACCCGCUGAACUUAAGCAUAUCAAUAAGGCGGAGGA